rnacentral:rRNA from 1 species
GACGAACGCUGGCGGCGUGCCUAAUACAUGCAAGUAGAACGCAGUUGCGAACGGGUGCGUAACGCGUAGGUAACUGCCUCAUAGCGCAGGAUAACGCUUGGCAACGAUAGCUACUACCGCUUACUGUGAGAUGGACCUGCGUUGUAUUAGCUAGUUGGGGGGGGUAAGGCUCACCAAGGCGACGAUACAUAGCCGGCCUGAGAGGGUGGUCGGCCACACUGGGACUGGGUAAAUGGCCAGACUCCUACGGGAGGCAGCCGUAGGGACUCUUCGGCAAUGGACGGAAGCCUGACCGAGCAACGGCGCGUGGGUGAAGAAGGUUUUCGGAGCUUAAAGCUCUGUUGUUCGAGAAGCGGUAACUAACCAGAAAGGGACGGCUAACUACGUGCCAGCAGCCGCGGUAAUUC